AUGUAAAAGAAAAGGGGACGAGCUUCCUUAUAAAAUAGUUACAGAUGAAGUUUAUGGAAGACACAUGAUUGCUGCCAGGAAAAUAAAGGCAGGAGAGAUUGUUCUUGAGGAUUCACCGAUAACAAUGGGUC